rnacentral:rRNA from 1 species
UACGAAGGGGGCUAGCGUUGCUCGGAAUCACUGGGCGUAAAGGGUGCGUAGGCGGAUGUUUAAGUCGGGGGUGAAAGCCCGGGGCUCAACCUCGGAAUUGCCUUCGAUACUGGACAUCUUGAGUACGGGAGAGGUGAGUGGAACUCCGAGUGUAGAGGUGAAAUUCGUAGAUAUUCGCAAGAACACCAGUGGCGAAGGCGGCUCACUGGUCCGGUACUGACGCUGAGGCGCGACAGCGUGGGGAGCAAACAGG